rfam:Nocardioides sp. PD653 DNA, contig: 24.
GCGGACAUAGCUCAGUUGGUAGAGCGCAACCUUGCCAAGGUUGAGGUCGCGAGUUCGAGUCUCGUUGUCCGCU